GAACUGGGCAGAUUAUCCCUCUCUGCCUGAGGGCUGCAGCCAGCCAAGAACCCAGUCAGCAGCAGCAGCAGCAACCUGCUCUGGCAGCUUCCAGGUUGGAGUCUGAAUCAACAGGUUCCUUUGCUAUUCUGAGCACCGUGGGGACACGGAGGAGGGAAGAUGUGCCACCCAUCCUGCAGCCCCUGUUCCAGCAGUAAUGAUCUCCAGCUGAAGGACAGGAAGAAGCUGGAAACAGUAAUAUCAGAAAUAGUCCCCACCUCCAGUGGCAUUCUGAGUUCAUGCUUGGGAUUUCCCAGGGGACUUGAGAAAACACAUCCUCAGCCUCUUGGACCUUGGCAAAGCUGAUACAUAAUGUGUGGAAGUCUUCCCAACAGGAAUAAGCAAGCCCGGAAGGCCAAGGUUACCACUGAUUUGGUUUGAGGGGGGCAAAAAAAAAAAGAAAAAGACAACUGAAAUGACGUUGGACAUUCAUUAGCAAAGCAUUGUCAGAACACAAUAGAAGAACAGACAAAAGCCAGUCCAGAUUCUGUGGUAUUUCCUAAAGGGCUCCCUCUGGCACACGGCUAUUCCCUGCCAAUCCUUCUGUAUUGUUUUUGAUAAUGAAUAGAAGCUGAACAGAUGAUUG